CAAGUACUCCCUCCAUCCGGAAUUACUUGUCAUCAAAAUGGAUGUGUCUAGAACUAAAAUAGAUCUAGAUACAUCCAUUUCAAUGACAAGUAUUUUCGGACGGAGGGAGUACAAG
rnacentral:pre_miRNA from 1 species